rnacentral:rRNA from 1 species
CCUACGGGAGGCAGCAGUGAGGAAUAUUGGUCAAUGGGCGCAAGCCUGAACCAGCCAAGUAGCGUGAAGGAUGACGGCCCUAUGGAUUGUAAACUUCUUUUAUAAGGGAAUAAAGUGCGGGACGUGUCCCGUUUUGUAUGUACCUUAUGAAUAAGGAUCGGCUAACUCCGUGCCAGCAGCCGCGGUAAUACGGAGGAUCCGAGCGUUAUCCGGAUUUAUUGGGUUUAAAGGGUGCGUAGGCGGCCUGUUAAGUCAGUGGUGAAAGUCUGCGGCUCAACCAUAGAAUUGCCAUUGAUACUGGCAGUCUUGAGUAUGGUUGAGGUAGGCGGAAUGCGUGGUGUAGCGGUGAAAUGCUUAGAUAUCACGAAGAACCCCGAUUGCGAAGGCAGCCUACUAAGCUAUGACUGACGUUGAUGCUCGAAAGUGUGGGGAUCAAACAGGAUUAGAUACCCGGGUAGUC